rnacentral:rRNA from 1 species
GGUAAUCAAAAGUUAAUCAUUAAAUCUUAGUAGCAAUUACUAAAUCAAUUUUUAAUAACAAAUUACUAGAGUAAAAAAGAGGAUUGUAGAAUUUCAAGUGGAGAAAUAAAAUUCGUAGAUUUUUGAAGGAAUAUCGAAAGCGAAGGCAACAAUCUGGUUUUAUACUGACGCUGAUUCACGAAAGCCUAGGUAGCAACCGGGAUUAGAGACCCCGUUAGUCUAGGCUGUAAACGAUGAGUACUCAUUUUUGGAUAGAACAUAUUCAGAAAUUUAGCUAACGCGUUAAGUACUCCACCUGAGGAGUACAGUGGCAACACUGAAACUCAAAGGAAUUGACGGGGAUUUAUACCAUUCGUGGAAUAUGUGGUUUAAUUCGUAAAUACACGCAAAACCUUACCAACUUUUGAAUGAUUUUAUAUUCUAAUGAAGAAAUUUGUUAUGUUAAAAAUUACAGGUACUGCAUGGCUGUCGUCAGCUCGUGUCUUGAGAUGUUAGGUUUAGUCCAGUAACGAGCGAAACCCUUUUUCUUUGUUGCAAAAGACAAUUUGUUCAUUUAUAUUAAUUGAACCGUGUUUGUGUACUUAAAAGAGUAUUGCCCUAUGAUAUAUAGGAUGAAAGAAAAGGAUGACGUCAAGUCUUCAUGGUCCUUAUAAGUUGGGCUACACAUGUAU